UACGUAGGGGGCAAGCGUUGUCCGGAAUCACUGGGCGUAAAGGGCGCGUAGGUGGUCUGAUAAGGGUGUGGUGAAAGCCCGGGGCUCAACCCCGGGUCGGCCGUGCCGACUGUUAGACUAGAGUGCUGUAGAGGCAGGUGGAAUUCCCGGUGUAGCGGUGGAAUGCGUAGAGAUCGGGAAGAACAUCAGUGGCGAAGGCGGCCUGCUGGGCUGUUGCUGACGCUGAGGCGCGACAGCGUGGGGAGCAAACAGG
rnacentral:rRNA from 1 species